GAUGAACGCUAGCGGCAGGCUUAACACAUGCAAGUCGAGGGGUAACAGAAUAGCUUGCUAUUGCUGACGACCGGCGCACGGGUGCGUAACGCGUAUACAAUCUACCUUAUACAGGAGGAUAGCCCUAAGAAAUUGGGAUUAAUACUCCAUAGUAAUAUUUUACUGCAUGGUAAAAUGUUUAAAACUUCGGUGGUAUAAGAUGAGUAUGCGUCCUAUUAGCUAGAUGGUAAGGUAACGGCUUACCAUGGCAACGAUAGGUAGGGGGCCUGAGAGGGUUAUCCCCCACACUGGUACUGAGACACGGACCAG
rnacentral:rRNA from 1 species